UACUUUCUGGUGAAUCUUAAAAACGGUUAAGUUAUUUAAUUAAAUGUGACUCUUAUAAUCCUUCCAACUUUGUUUAUCUGUUUAUUUUUGCAACUUUAGUGCUUUUCAUUAUUGAAUAGAAAAUUAAAUUCACUGUUUCAUUGCUUGUCCUCUCUUUGGUUCUAUCAGCUUCAUCAUCAUCUUGGUGAAUGUCAAUCAGAUCAACCCUGUCCAUCAACAAAUCUCAAGUCAAGAAGAAAAAAAAAUCUGUAAUCUGAAAAUCGCCUACAGUCAUUUGGAAGCUUCUGAUUUCAAAAAUAGAUUGAUAACUUUUCUUUUUAUACUAAUAAUGCAUAUAAAUGUGUAUUCAAUAAAAGCAGCAAAUAAUCACAACUUUAAAUCUUUUGAUGCCUGUUAAGUAAUCAAGUUACAUUUUAUUAAAAAGACAGAUAAUACAGGUUACAAUGUAUUCAUCUUGAUCCUCAUCAGACCUCAACCUCAUCAACAGCACAAAAUUUAAUCAUCUUUUAUCAAUCAAAAAAUUGUUCAUUUAAAUAUAUAAAUAUUACAGUGUAUGUUAAAAAAAUGUGAUCUUACUCAUUGUUUUGCCUUACCUUAUAAAUGUGUAUAAUUAAAUGUAAAAGGUUAAUUGAAUGCUGAUAAUAAUAAUCAAAGAGAGAUGAAGAGAAAAAAUUAUAAAUGAAAUUGUCAUUCCUUUUCAUUUCAAUUUAACAUUUAAUGUGAUUAAAAUUGAUUAGACUGUUAGGCUUGCUAUUAAGGUAAAAAAGUUAAUCAUAAUUGAUGGUAUUGUAUGUAACAUUUUGAUUCAUUAUCAUUAUGCUUUUUGUUAAAAAUUAUCUUUGAUUGAUUUGAUGCAUUUUAUGCUUUGUUAGACACUUUUAACUUUAUAAAGCACCCCUUUACCAUUUUGAAAUGAUUUUUGUUUGAUUGUGAAAGCGGCAAUUUUGAUUGAUCUUUCUUGUGGUUCCUUGAAUUUGCUUUGUUUUCAUUUUAUCCUUAAUUGUUUUCCAAUUGUGUCGAUUACUUAUUAAUUAUUUAUUAAUGGUUAAGUGAUUUAACUUUGUUUUUAAUUUUCUUGAUCACCUUCAACUUGUCAUUAAAAUUAUCUCUACCCAAAGAUAUCUAUCUAUCUAAAUAUCUAUCUAUUCUUGUCGAUCUCCUUUUCCCUCGUCUUUUGUUAACCGUUUAAUCAGUCAUCGUGGCCAUCUUUAAAUUUUUUGUAACCCUAAUUUUACUUGAUUUAACAAUGUACCUUUUUUUCAUUUCAACAUUUUCACCUAUUUUUAGAGCCAACCUUUAACCUCAAAUAUAAACACCUAAUGUACAUCAUGUGUGUUGUUGUUGAACCAUUGGAUUGAUCAUUCCCUUUUCGACUCAAAUAACAGCGAAUUAAACUGGGAAAAAAGCUUUAGGGUAAUCAAUGUUUUGUAAUUUGAUCAGCUAGAAGCUCAUGUUUCAGGACGAUAAUGCUGAUGAAACAGACAAGUAUAGAACCCAACCUUUACCAUCAAACAUGUUGCUUAGUAUGCAAGUCACUACAUUAGCCUCUCUGGUAUGAAGAUGAUUAAACCAACCUGUCUUUUUAUUUUCUCUCUGCGACCCUGGAGCAAAGGUCUCGAAGAUAAGGACUGAUAAAGCUGGUAAAAAAAGAGUUUUCCAAUUUGCGCUUGAAGGAAAUUACCUUUUUCACUUGGAUGUCAUAAGUACAGUUCUUUCUCUCUUUAUCAACCAGAGUGUAUAAAUUUAGUUUGCUUGCACUGUAUCUUCCAUCCAGGAAAAUUAUGAAGUCACAAUCAGAGGAGAAACAGAAUAGAUAAACAGCGAAAGAGUUUAGUAUGUCUCCUCUCAUUUUAUUGUGGUCAUUUUGUCCUCUUCCUUGGUUCUGCUGUGUAAUGUUAUUCGGUCAAUGCAUUACUUGCUUAACAAUAAAUCACUGGUCAAAAAAAGAGAUUAAAUUUAUCAACCUUUAUUUACAAUAUGGAGAAAGAGAAAAGUGAAAUACCUUCGGAAAUAUCAUUAUCAUCGUUAUUACCAUCCUUACCUUAAUUUCAAUCAUUAUGCUCCUUUAAAAUUGGCAUAUUUGAUUGGAGUAGGAAAAGUCAAGAAAGUCAUGGAAACAUAAUACAAAAUAAACAAGCAAGGGAAAGGCAGGAAAAACUUUUAAUCAUGUUGGAGGUGAACAAAGUUACUAACUAGGACUACCCGGUAAAGGUUAAAGGUUAUUGGUUGGCAGAAGGAAACAAAAACGUCUAAAAUAAAAGGGAUCGUUAAUUGGAGUUAAAUGAGAUUGAAGUUGAAUCUUAAGCAAAGUAAAUGUUAAUGUUGCACCGAAUCGGUAUGCCAUUCAAAAAGUUUGUUACAAAUGGACAUUGGAAAAUAUUCUUGUGAAAACAAAGCACAACAACAGCAGUUGAUAGUUUAAUGUUCAACUUCUGACGCACACACACGCACUUAAACACACAAAAGGCGCAUCUCAUUAACCCUAUCGUCGUUUUCAUCAGCAUAAUCAUCCAUUUAAGCUCUUGGGCGGUCAUGUUAUUAUUUUGGACUCGUUUGAAGCCCAUCGUUCCGUUUAAAUGCAUUUAACCAAGUCUUGCGUUUUCUCCUGCUUAACCUGUUUAAACAAAUCAUUGUUUUAGACAAAAACUAACCACAAACCAUUCGCCAAUCACAAGGAAAAAAACAGUCAAUGCAAAGGAAAAAAAAGGAUAAGCCAACAUUUAAAAGAUCCUGUAAUUCUUAUUCUCAGCGUUUUUUCUUCAUCUUUUCUUUGCUCUUUUCGUUUCCUACUCUUUUCCUCCUUUUCGCAUCAAUAGAUUCGUGAGAUGAUGAUGAAGCAAAACGGAAUAAAAGCAUUACAAUAAAGAAGCAGAAAGCAAGCUCUAACAUAUGGUCGACCUGAGGUCCAUUUUGAAUUUUUUGGCGAAAAAUGAUUUACAAAGUUUAUGCGGUACUAAAUUCAUUGGCUUAAACAACAGGAAGAUAUGGUAAGGAGGCGGAAGAAGAAGAAGAGAAAGAAAAGGACAAGAAAAAAAGAAAGAGAAAAUUAUCCAAAAGACAGUGAAAAGGCCAUUUUACCAUUGUAUUAUCGUUGUUUAGAAUGGCCUAUCAAAAGGAAAAAGAAAAGAAGGAAACAAGAUGGACUACGCGAAUACAACCCAACAGGGCGAUGGGCAAGUGAAUGAUGAUGAGUUUAUCAUGAUGAUAAUAAUGGUGAUGGUCAUUUUGGAAGAUUGAAACGGAAACACUCGGAAACGAGUCUUCUCAGCCGAAAGAUUUGCGAGUAAAAUAGUGAACCCAGGCGAAGUCAAUGAUAUAUCAAACUUUCUCUCUGAUUCCAACUUCUGCUCGCUUUUUUUGCUCUACACCCAAAACAAUGUUAAUCUCAACUGUGACACCAGCCAAAAAGCCAGCAAAAAAGAGGAAGAAAAUCCUAAAGGCGAAGGCAAAAAAAAAUGUAAAGAUUUGGUGACUCUCGAUGUUUUUCCUGAUUUUUAACGGUUUAUGCAUCUUUUUUGCUCCAACUUCCUCUGGAUCUGUCUCUGGAUUUAUCAUUAUCCAAUCGUAAAAUGGUAAAAGCAAGUUUAUAAAAAAAAGAUGAGGCCAAUAACACGGCAAAAAGGCAUUAGUUUGACGAGUAUCUCGAUCACUUUUUUUUCUUGAACCUCAUUUUCAUGUUUCUCUUUUUUUACUUGCUUCUAUUCCAUCUUGCCCUCUAGUUUGACUGAAUUUUAUCUGAUCGUUUUAAGGUAAAAGGUUUGAUAAAUAUCUAAGUGUAGGUUUGAUCCAUCACAGAUUUGAUGGCAAAUGACAUGAACAGUAUUUAGAAAUACCUUUUUUUAUCGCUAAUUCCGUAGAUUUUUUGCAUCUUCCGUCAGUUUUGUAUGCAAAAAAUAGAAGAGGAAAGCAAUUAAAUGUUUUCAAUAUUAAUUUAGCACAGCAUUUAUCACUUAUAAUUUACUCUUGAAUCUUUAUUGUUUGCAAAAUGUUUACAAUAUUCAUAUUCAUAAUUGUAUUCAGUGAAACAAAGUAUGAAAUCAGGAAAUAAGAUGAACCAGAAGCAGGAAAAAAAAGAUAUGAACAAAGGGAAAUUAAUAAAAAACCGUUGAUGAGGAUUGAAUGAAAAGGCAAUUGAAGUAAACAAUCAACAAUCAGGUAAACUCACAAUACAAUUUGCUCUCUUUUUUCAUUAACAUCAAUCAGGUUGGCAAAAAGGUCAAUUGUUUUACAUUAUCAUUAUUUUCAAUAUUACAAUUGUGAUUGACAUGAAAUUGUGUUCACCAAUCAUGAUUACAUUGAGCUUUUAAUCUUGAACAAACAAGACUAUCCCGGUUUAAUAAGGGUUAAAGAUGAGAACCUUGUUAACAUUAAUUGAUGAAAAUGUACAGUUUAACUGUAAUAGUUAACCAUUGACAAAAAGAGUGGCAAAAAAGUGUUGUUUAGUAUUGCUUGAUGAGACUAAAUUUAAUGAUUAAUUCAUCCAUUAAAUGAUUUAGAUAAUGUUUUAUACAAACAAGCCUAAAAGAGCGUAAUCUAAUACAUCUUUUAACAUUGCCUGUUGAUCUUGAUGAAGCAGCAAGAAAACAAACUCAACUCUAACAGACUGUGUGUACAUUAAUUGUGAUUGUUUAAUUUGAUUGACAGUAAAAUCAAGCCUCUAAUAAGGGGUUUAAUCAGAUGUCAGAUUAAAGUAAACAAGGUUUCAAUUGCUGUCAUAAUAUUGAAGAGUAUGCGAACUGAGAAAAUGUCAUUUGUUCAAAUAAAAAAAAGCCGAGUUAACUGAGUAUCUAGUAAAUAUGAUAUCUUGUACAAUGUUGACUAAAGUUGAUGAAGACGAAGAUGAAAUACUGAAGACCCUUUACUGAAUUUAUUUACUUUGAAAUUCACGUUCGAUUAGAGAAGAUAACUUUAAAUGUAAGUUAACAACAGAAUCAAUAAUAAUGUGAUAAUCACUUCCAGGUAAAGCUAUAGGAAGGAAAGCCAUGAUUUGAAACUAAAUCUUUAAUAAUGAUUUGCCAGUUAUUUGGGAAAAGUGAUUUUCUCUCUCUUACCUGUUUAUCCUUGCCAAUAAACUGUACCGGUUAAAUGACUAAAUGAUAACUUGCACAAACUUGCUUUUGUGUUGAGCUUUCAAAAAGUGUAAACCUGGUCAAUGAAGUCAACUAACGAUGCAACUUUGUUUCUGCCAUGUAAAGAAGGAGAAGAAACAAUUGAAGAUUACCAUUGAAAUAACCAUUGAAAUAUCCAUUGGAAACCGAUUGCCUGGAAGGAUCAAAAUGAAUGCCAGCGGACCAUCAACGCCUUAGUGUGACACUUACUGGUUUACUCAAAUUAUUUGAACAUCAUCAUCAUUAACAAUAACAACGUUAUUAAUAUCUCUUGCUACUGAACAUAAUAAUCAAUUUUGACUGUCUUACAUUGAUUAAGAGAAGUGCCUUUCAUAUAUAAUUAUUACCUGAUUAUUACUAUUAUUACAACUUGGUUGGCUUCUGUAUGUGUGUGUGCCUUUCAACCUCCAAUGUAGCAGCAUCAUGUCAACAGUAUCAUGAAGUCGAUGAUCAACGUUAUUAUCAAAGCUGAUGAAGAUAAACUUUCUUUCGCCAUCAGAGUAAAUAAUUUACAGAAUGGAUUGAGAUAAAUUUGAUGUUUACCUGGGCGGUCGUUUUCCACUCUUCUCUACCUCUCUGAUUGGCGAUGAUUCAAAGUAAUAAUUGGCCUUUAGCCCAAACCAAGAAGAAAAUUCUGAUCAAGAAAUGUUCAUUUUUUAUCCAUCAAGCCAAAUGUGUAAAUCAAUGCAGUUGAGGCGCAAAAGUAAAGGAAAAGUCAAAUUGAGAUUUCAAAUUUUCUCUCGUUUCCAUCUCAACGAAUUGUCAUGAAGCAAAUCAAUUAUUGAACAAUUUACAGGAGCAAAAAUAGGCCUUUAAAAUGAUGUAAACAUGAUGCUGGUUAAACCAUUUACAUUUGUGUAAACGCUGUAAAAGCCAUCAAGAAUGAAGAGCCAAGAAGAAGAAGAAAAAAAAGUAAUUGAAACAGCAAAGAAACAAGGAAAACUCACAAUUUCUCAUUUUAAUGAUCAACAAACGGAAAAAACUGAAGGGAUAAACUGAAUGGGAAGGUGAAUGGAAGGCAACUAAAAUAGGAAGGAGAGACUUGUAUUAAUUACAAUGUUAUCCUGAGGGCAAUUUAAAGACACCACCAAAGUAGACUCCAACUUAAUCUCAAUUCACUUUCCUCUUCACCUUACAUCAUCAUCAUCUUCUUGCUCAUCUUCUGUUUUUAUUUUCUCUCUUCUCUUAAUCUUUCCUUUUCUUCUCUGUAUAAAUUUAUCAAUUGAGUUGUUGUUAUUACCUUAACUCGUGUGUGUUCUCGCCAUUAUUUUCAUUUCAACUUUACCUCUUAUCUUCAUCCUCCUCAUCAUCAUCAUCAUUUUCAUCUUUCCCUCUCUAUCGCCAGGCUAAAAGGACAAAAGUCUCAAAGUUAAUUAGCCGUUUAGGACGCUUAACAUUCAGAAGUCAUUUUACCGAAGCAAGGUGAUGAAAAUGGAUACAAACAAUGGUUAAUAGCGAGCUAAUUUAUUUCAUUAUUUAUUAACUUUCACUGAUUAACCUUUCAAUUUUAAUGGGAAACAUUUGAUGUCAUGAUCAACUCAAACAUAGACUUUUAAAAGGCCUUAAAAGAUGCAAAAAAUGGUUAAACCGAAACAGAUUCAACAAUCAAGUCAAGUUCCGUGUAAAAUCAACUAACACCAGAUAAUUGAAUGUUGUACAACAUACGUUUUGUAAUAUUGUAAUACAUCUAAAUACAUCCAUUUUCUGGUUGAUAUUAUUGUUGGACAUUCAAUUGAAAGAUGAUCAAUUAUGGUGAACAAAAAAAAAGUCAACCUGGUUAAUCUGAUACAAAUUUUAUGUAUAAGUUGUUGGUCAAAAGAAAGGAUAGGAACAACAAUAAAAAAAACAUCAAAAUAAUGAUGAAAGUUAAGGUUCAGUAUCUUUUGUAAUCUGAUGAAAAGCUGUGACAAAAGUUGACUUUAACAAACACCUUUGAUGAUAAUCACCUUUUCCAGUUAACCAACAACAGCAACAUUAAUGGGAAAAGUCUUGGGAUAAGAAAGGCUUUCAAAGCUAACUUUAAGGUGAUAAAAUGUACUGAUAAAGUUGUGAUUGCGACAAUUGUAUUGGCUUUAAUUUUCAAUGGUUAACUUGCUGACUUUUGUCAAAGUGUUGGUAGAAAGCAAUUCAAUCUUUUUCACUCUACAAAUUGAUCUCUAUUUUUUCAUCUGCAUACAGGGAAAGGUAAGCAACAA